rnacentral:rRNA from 1 species
UACGUAGGGACCAAGCGUUGUCCGGAAUCAUUGGGCGUAAAGCGCGCGUAGGUGGCCAUUUAAGUCCGCUGUGAAAGUCAGAGGCUCAACCUUUGAAAGCCGGUGGAUACUGGAUGGCUAGAGUACGGAAGAGGCGAGUGGAAUUCCUGGUGUAGCGGUGGAAUGCGCAGAUAUCAGGAGGAACACCGAUGGCGAAGGCAGGUCUCUGGGCCACUACUGACGCUGAGAAGCGAAAGCAUGGGGAGCGAACAGG